rnacentral:rRNA from 1 species
AACGAACGCUGGCGGCGCGCCUAAUACAUGCAAGUCGAACGAGAAGGUGUAGCAAUACACUUGUACAGUGGCGAACGGGUGAGGAAUGCAUGGGCAACCUACCCUCGAGUGGGGAACAACCAGCCGAAAGGUUGGCUAAUACCGCGUACGCUUCCGGGUCUCCGGAUCCGGAAGGAAAGUCACACCGUGGGUGUGACGCUCAAGGAUGGGCUCAUGUCCUAUCAGCUUGNGGUGAGGUAACGGCUCACCAAGGCAACGACGGGUAGCUGGUCUGAGAGGACGAUCAGCCACACUGGCACUGCGACACGGGCCAGACUCCUACGGGAGGCAGCAGUAAGGAAUAUUGCGCAAUGGGCGAAAGCCUGACGCAGCGACGCCGCGUGGGGGAUGAAGGUCUUCGGAUUGUAAACCCCUUUUAGGAGGGAAAGUGGGACGAGCAAUCGUCCGGAUGGUACCUCCAGAAAAGCCACGGCUAACUUCGUGCCAGCAGCCGCAGUAAG